rnacentral:rRNA from 1 species
GAUGAACGCUGGCGGCGUGCCUAAUACAUGCAAGUCGAGCGAACAGACGAGGAGCUUGCUCCUCUGACGUUAGCGGCGGACGGGUGAGUAACACGUGGAUAACCUACCUAUAAGACUGGGAUAACUUCGGGAAACCGGAGCUAAUACCGGAUAAUAUAUUGAACCGCAUGGUUCAAUAGUGAAAGACGGUUUUGCUGUCACUUAUAGAUGGAUCCGCGCCGCAUUAGCUAGUUGGUAAGGUAACGGCUUACCAAGGCAACGAUGCGUAGCCGACCUGAGAGGGUGAUCGGCAACACUGGAACUGAGACACGGUCCAGACUCCUACGGGAGGCAGCAGUAGGGAAUCUUCCGCAAUGGGCGAAAGCCUGACGGAGCAACGCCGCGUGAGUGACGAAGGUCUUCGGAUCGUAAAACUCUGUUAUUAGGGAAGAACAAAUGUGUAAGUAACUAUGCACGUCUUGACGGUACCUAAUCAGAAAGCCACGGCUAACUACGUG